UACGGAAGGCAGCAGUGGGGAAUAUUGGACAAUGGGCGAAAGCCUGAUCCAGCCAUGCCGCGUGUGUGAAGAAGGUCUUCGGAUUGUAAAGCACUUUAAGUUGGAGGAAGGGCAGUAAAUUAAUACUUUGCUGUUUUGACGUUACCGACAGAAUAAGCACCGGCUAACUCUGUGCCAGCAGCCGCGGUAAUACAGAGGGUGCAAGCGUUAAUCGGAAUUACUGGGCGUAAAGCGCGCGUAGGUGGUUCGUUAAGUUGGAUGUGAAAUCCCCGGGCUCAACCUGGGAACUGCAUUCAAAACUGACGAGCUAGAGUAUGGUAGAGGGUGUGGAAUUUUCCUGUGUAGCGGUGAAAUGCGUAGAUAUAGGAAGGAACACCAGUGGCGAAGGCGACCACCUGGGACUGAUACUGACACUGAGGUGCGAAAGCGUGGGGAGCAAACGAGGAUUAGGAUACC
rnacentral:rRNA from 1 species